rnacentral:rRNA from 1 species
AACGAACGCUGGCGGCAUGCCUAACACAUGCAAGUCGAACGAGACCUUCGGGUCUAGUGGCGCACGGGUGCGUAACGCCUGGGAACCUGCCCUUAGGUUCGGAAUAACUCAGAGAAAUUUGAGCUAAUACCGGCUGAUGUCUUCGGACCAAAGAUUUAUCGCCUUUAGAUGGGCCCGAGUUGGAGUAGCUAGUUGGUGGGGUAAAGGCCUGCCAAGGCGACGAUCCAUAGCUGGUCUGAGAGGAUGAUCAGCCACACUGGGGCUGAGACACGGCCCAGACUCCUACGGGAGGCAGCAGUAGGGAAUAUUGGACACUGGGCGAAAGCCUGCUCCAGCAAUGCCGCGUGAGUGAUGAAGGCCUUAGGGUUGUAAAGCUCUUUUACCCGAGAUGAUAAUGACAGUAUCGGGAGAAUAAGCUCCGGCUAACUCCGUG